rnacentral:sRNA from 1 species
UCCUCUCCCAGGAUUCAAAGGCGAGAGAGUGCUUCAUCCCACCUCACCGGUUGACUGUUCUAUCUGUUAGAUCGGCUGGGAUAUAACCCUAAAGUGAAACUACAUAAAGACGGUGUCUUCUGGAAUUUGAUAGGAGAUUCUUUUCCAACCUUCAGGGGACUCUUAAAUCUGAACCUCCGCUCUGUUGCACUGAGCUCGGGAUAUCUUUGCUUAGGACACUGAAGGUUAGUUUAUGUUGUGGGAUACUUGACCUUUGGAUCUGCAAAAAAAAAACGAAGAACCACUGGCAAGAGCUGCAGUCUUUGAGGCAAGGGAGAGCACUUGCAUUGGCUGUAUUGCAAGAAACAUAACCAUGAGCUCUGUUGUGUUUCCUUGCAUGUGUGCACAAAACAAGGUCUGCAUUGCUGACAGGGUCAGAAAGGAACUGGCAGGAAUUGGCUAUUUGUCCCCAAAUGAAGAUGGGGGAUGCAUUGGGCAAUCUUCUCUUGCUGUGGUAAGGCGCCAUGGCUGAUAGCAACUUAAGGAAGAGCGUUUUAGCUUGUGAUUUCAGAGGGGAGUGGAGUCCAUGCAGCAGAAGAUGCACAACAGGGAGACGAAGAGCAAGAUGCUUGCACAUCACAUUUUCAUCCACCCAUAGAAGGGAGAGAGCAAGCAGGGAGUGCAGGAAGACUGUGAACCAUAGCGCCUUCUUCUAGUGAUGGUUUCCUCCAGCAAGGCUGCACCUCCCAAAGGUUCCCUCACCAACUGGAUCAGCUCCAUCCAUUGGCGAUCAAGUGUUCAAACUCCUCCAAGGGGGCAGUCAAGCAGAGCUUGGAGCAAUGGCUGAAGCCGUAGCUGGAUGGAAGGCUGUGGAAGAAACACCCAUCUCCCUUUCCUUAUCCCAUCCAAAAGGGUCACAGUGGACACACGCAUAUCAAGAGGC